GCUGCGGGCGCGUUUAAAGCAUGCAAGUCGAGCGGCAAGGGUACUUCGGUACCCCUAGAGCGGCGACGGGGUGAGUAACACGUGGAUAACCUGCCCCCGGGUGCGGGAUAGCCCAGGGAAACCUGGAUUAAUACCUCGUAAGACCACGCUCUGUAGGGAGAGUGGGAAAAGGCGCUUCGGCGUCGCCUGGGGAUGGGUCCGCGUCCCAUUAGCUAGAUGGUAGGGUAAGAGCCUACCAUGGCGACGAUGGGUAGCCGGCCUGAGAGGGUGAACGGCCACACUGGAACUGAGACACGGUCCAGACUCCUACGGGAGGCAGCAGCUAAGAAUCUUCCGCAAUGGGCGCAAGCCUGACGGAGCGACGCCGCGUGGGCGAGGAAGGCCGCAAGGUUGUAAAGUCCUUUUCGGGAAGGGGAAUAAGAGUGAUAGGCAAUGAUCACUUGAUGACAUGAAUCCCGGAAUAAGCCCCGGCUAACUACGUGCCAGCAGCCGCGGUAACACGUAGGGGGCGAGCGUUGUUCGGAAUCAUUGGGCGUAAAGGGCGCGCAGGCGGCGUGUAAAGUCUGGCGUGGAAGUCCCCGGCUCAACUGGGGGAUUGCGUUGGAAACUGGCACGCUUGAGUACGACAGGGGAUGGCGGAAUUCCAGGUGUAGGGGUGAAAUCUGUAGAUAUCUGGAGGAACACCAACGGCGAAGGCAGCCAUCUGGAUCAGUACUGACGCUGAGGCGCGAAGGUGCGGGGAGCAAACAGGUUUAGAUACCCUGGUAGUCCGCACAGUAAACGAUGUGCACUAGGUGUCGGGCAGUCAAUGUUCGGUACCGCAGCAAACGCGUAAGUGCACCG
rnacentral:rRNA from 1 species